rnacentral:rRNA from 1 species
CGGGGGGUAAGCGUUGUUCGGAAUUACUGGGCGUAAAGGGCUCGUAGGCGGCCAACUAAGUCAUACGUGAAAUCCCUCAGCUUAACUGGGGAACUGCGUGUGAUACUGGAUGGCUUGGAUUUGGGAGAGGGAUGCGGAAUUCCAGGUGUAGCGGUGAAAUGCGUAGAUAUCUGGAGGAACACCGGUGGCGAAGGCGGCAUCCUGGACCAAUAUUGACGCGGAGGAGCGAAAGCCAGGGGAGCAAACGGGAUUAGAUACCCCGGUAGUCCUGGCCCUAAACGAUGAAUGCUUGGUGUAGCGGGUAUCGAUCCCUGCUGUGCCGAAGCUAACGCAUUAAGCAUUCCGCCUGGGGAGUACGGUCGCAAGGCUG